GUACGCUGGCGGCACGCCUAACACAUGCAAGUCGAACGCAGUAGCAAUACUGAGUGGCAAACGGGUGAGUAUAAUGUGGGAAUCUGCCUUUUGGUUUGGAAUAACACGAGGAAACUUGUGCUAAUACCGAAUAAGCCCUUACGGGGAAAGUUUUAAUGCCGAAAGAUGAGCCCGCACUUGAUUAGCUAGUUGGUGAGGUAAAAGCUCACCAAGGCAACGAUCAAUAGCUGUUCUUAGAGGAAGACCAGCCACAUUGGGACUGAGACACGGCCCAGACUCCUACGGGAGGCAGCAGUGGGGAAUCUUGCACAAUGGGGGAAACCCUGAUGCAGCGAUGCCGCGUGAGUGAAGAAGGCCCUUGGGUUGUAAAACUCUUUCGUCGGGGAAGAAAAUGACUGUACCCGAAUAAGAAGGUCCG
rnacentral:rRNA from 1 species